rnacentral:rRNA from 1 species
CAGUAGCCGCGGUAAUACGUAGGGUGCAAGCGUCGUCCGGAAUUAUUGGGCGUAAAGAGCUCGUAGGCGGUCUGUCGCGUCGGCUGUGAAAACCUGGGGCUCAACCCCGGGCCUGCAGCCGAUACGGGCAGACUAGAAUUCGGUAGGGGAGACUGGAAUUCCUGGUGUAGUGGUGAAAUGCGCAGAUAUCAGGAGGAACACCGGUGGCGAAGGCGGGUCUCUGGGCCGAUAUUGACGCUGAGGAGCGAAAGCGUGGGGAGCGAACAGGAUUAGAUACCCCAGUAGUCCCUGUCUCUUAUAA